GACGAACGCUGGCGGCGUGCUUAACACAUGCAAGUCGAACGGAAAGGCCCUGCUUGCAGGGUACUCGAGUGGCGAACGGGUGAGUAACACGUGGGUGAUCUGCCCUGCACUUCGGGAUAAGCCUGAGAAACUGGGUCUAAUACCGGAUAGGAGCCAUUUUUAGUGUGAUGGUUGGAAAGUUUUUUCGGUGUAGGAUGAGCUCGCGGCCUAUCAGCUUGUUGGUGGGGUAAUGGCCUACCAAGGCGGCGACGGGUAGCCGGCCUGAGAGGGUGGACGGCCACAUUGGGACUGAGAUACGGCCCAGACUCCUACGGGAGGCAGCAGUGGGGAAUAUUGCACAAUGGGCGCAAGCCUGAUGCAGCGACGCCGCGUGGGGGAUGACGGCCUUCGGGUUGUAAACUCCUUUCGCUAGGGACGAAGCUUUUGUGACGGUACCUAGAUAAGAAGCACCGUCUAACUACGUG
rnacentral:rRNA from 1 species